rnacentral:RNase_P_RNA from 1 species
CGAGCCGGGCGGGCGGCCGCGUGGAAUCCCCUCACGGGGGACUCCCCGAGGAACGUCCGGGCUCCACAGGGCAGGGUGAUGGCUAACGGCCACCCGGGGUGACCCGCGGGACAGUGCCACAGAAAACAGACCGCCGGGGACCUCGGUCCCCGGUAAGGGUGAAACGGUGGUGUAAGAGACCACCAGCGCCUGAGGCGACUCAGGCGGCUAGGUAAACCCCACCCGGAGCAAGGUCAAAAGGGAGCGCCUUGGCGCUCCUGCGCGGACGUUCGAGGGCUGCCCGCCCGAGUCCGCGGGUAGACCGCAUGAGGCCGGCGGCAACGCCGGUCCUAGAUGGAUGGCCGUCGCCGAGGGGUUCGCGAGAACCCCCCGGAACAGAACCCGGCGUACAGCCCGACUCGUCUG